rnacentral:rRNA from 1 species
UUAGAGUUUGAUCCUGGCUCAGGACGAACGCUGGCGGCGUGCUUAACACAUGCAAGUCGAACGAUGAACCAGGAGCUUGCUCUUGGGGAUUAGUGGCGAACGGGUGAGUAACACGUGAGUAACCUGCCCUUGACUCUGGGAUAACCUCCGGAAACGGAAGCUAAUACCGGAUAUGACGUACGGAGGCAUCUCCUGUACGUGGAAAGAAUUUCGGUCAAGGAUGGACUCGCGGCCUAUCAGGUAGUUGGUGAGGUAACGGCCCACCAAGCCUACGACGGGUAGCCGGCCUGAGAGGGUGACCGGCCACACUGGGACUGAGACACGGCCCAGACUCG